GCUUUCUUAGCUCAGUUGGUAGAGCAACUGACUCUUAAUCAGUGGGUCGGGGGUUCGAGUCCCCCAGAAAGCA
rnacentral:tRNA from 1 species